GAUGAACGCUGGCGGCGUGCCUAAUACAUGCAAGUCGAACGCAUAGCGAAAGGUGCUUGCACCUUUCACGUGUGUGGCGAACGGGUGAGUAACACGUGGACAACCUGCCUCAAGGCUGGGGUUAACAUUUGGAAACAGAUGCUAAUACCGAAUAAAACUUAGUGUCGCAUGACACAAAGUUAAAAGGCGCUUCGGCGUCACCUAGAGAUGGAUCCGCGGUGCAUUAGUUAGUUGGUGGGGUAAAGGCCUACCAAGACAAUGAUGCAUAGCCGGGUUGAGAGACGGAUCGGCCACAGUGGGACUGAGACACGGCCCAAACUCCUACGGGAGGCUGCAGUAGGGAAUCUUCCACAAUGGGCGAAAGCCUGAUGGAGCAACGCCGCGUGUGUGAUGAAGGCUUUCGGGUCGUAAAGCACUGUUGUAUGGGAAGAACAGCUAGAAUAGGAAAUGAUUUUAGUUUGACGGUACCAUACCAGAAAGGGACGGCUAAAUACGUG
rnacentral:rRNA from 1 species